GGGUGCUUGUACUGCCUUCCAAAGUGAAGAGGAGAUGAACAUGGCUGUGCAUAGCUGUUGUUCUACGCCAACUUACCUACUCUUGCUGAUACCGUAGUGGCAUAUUGCAAAUUUCGUGGACGAACAACUCUCUAGUCACUAGUGGCUAAUGAGCAACACUAACAGACCAGAAUGCUUCGCUAUCAACUCCUGGCUUUCCAUCGGCAUGGUGUUCAGCUGCAGCGGCAUCUGGUCCGGGGAGUUGAAGUUGCUGGAUGGCUGCACUGACACAGGAUGGGUUUGCGUUGGCAAUGCGAUACGGCAGUCAUUCCACAUCAUGAGCUACAUGUUUAUGUAAUUUAUAUUGUCGCUCGUCCAGCAACGUCAAGGCUCCGCAUGUAAACACAGGAGAACACCAUAAUAAAAAAUACUACUCAUACUCAGGGGAUAAUAUAUUUGGAUUAGCAAUUUCGUGCCAUUUAUGGGUUCCUGUCUAAACCAUGCUGUGAUAUUGAUUUCUAUCUGCUCACAAAGUACCUUGUAUUGUAACAAUGCUCUGCCUAAUCACUACCCUCCGCCAAUUAUUAGAUUCACACAAUAUUCACAACACAAUGCUGUCUAUUUACACUACUUCGAACUGAAAUGCUCACUACUCUUCUCCCGUUUUCAGCUCCCUCUACCUUAUGAAUACUCUACAUUACUGGUUUCGUUUCUACCCUUUCCAUUGCUGCCAGCUCCCAGUCUUUUUCAAUGCACAGCACCACCUUGAAAUUUUUGUGAUUUGAUGUACACAUACUUUGAAGUUGAAAUUCGAACUACAUGA